AUUGAACGCUGGCGGCAUGCUUUACACAUGCAAGUCGAACGGUAGACCCUUUCGGGGGUUGAGAGUGGCGAACGGGUGAGUAAUGCAUCGGAACGUGCCUAGUCGUGGGGGAUAACGUAGCGAAAGUUACGCUAAUACCGCAUACGCACUGAGGUGGAAAGCGGGGGACCGUAAGGCCUCGCGCGAUUGGAGCGGCCGAUGUCGGAUUAGCUAGUUGGUGAGGUAAAGGCUCACCAAGGCGACGAUCCGUAGCGGGUCUGAGAGGAUGAUCCGCCACACUGGGACUGAGACACGGCCCAGACUCCUACGGGAGGCAGCAGUGGGGAAUUUUGGACAAUGGGCGCAAGCCUGAUCCAGCCAUGCCGCGUGCGGGAAGAAGGCCUCGGUU
rnacentral:rRNA from 1 species